rnacentral:rRNA from 1 species
GAGUUUGAUCCUGGCUCAGAUUGAACGCUGGCGGCAGGCCUAACACAUGCAAGUCGAGCGGAUGACGGGAGCUUGCUCCUUGAUUCAGCGGCGGACGGGUGAGUAAUGCCUAGGAAUCUGCCUGGUAGUGGGGGACAACGUUUCGAAAGGAACGCUAAUACCGCAUACGUCCUACGGGAGAAAGCAGGGGACCUUCGGGCCUUGCGCUAUCAGAUGAGCCUAGGUCGGAUUAGCUAGUUGGUGGGGUAAUGGCUCACCAAGGCGACGAUCCGUAACUGGUCUGAGAGGAUGAUCAGUCACACUGGAACUGAGACACGGUCCAGACUCCUACGGGAGGCAGCAGUGGGGAAUAUUGGACAAUGGGCGAAAGCCUGAUCCAGCCAUGCCGCGUGUGUGAAGAAGGUCUUCGGAUUGUAAAGCACUUUAAGUUGGGAGGAAGGGCAGUAAGUUAAUACCUUUGCUGUUUUUGACGUUACCGACAGAAUAAGCACCGGCUAACUCUGUGCCAGCAG